rnacentral:rRNA from 1 species
UACGUAGGGUGCAAGCGUUAAUCGGAAUCACUGGGCGUAAAGGGUGCGUAGGCGGGUCUUUUAAGUCAGGGGUGAAAUCCUGGAGCUCAACUCCAGAACUGCCUUUGAUACUGAAGAUCUUGAGUUCGGGAGAGGUGAGUGGAACUGCGAGUGUAGAGGUGAAAUUCGUAGAUAUCAGGAGGAACACCGAUGGCGAAGGCAAUCCCCUGGGCCUGCACUGACGCUCAUGCACGAAAGCGUGGGGAGCAAACAGG